CCUCGGGAAACUGAGUAUAAUGCCCGAUAGAACACUAUACCUGGAAUGGUUUGUGUUCCAAAUGAAUGUCGCCGUAGGAUGGGACUGCGGCCUAUCAGUUUGUUGGUGAGGUAAUGGCCCACCAAGACUAUUACAGGUACGGGCUCUGAGAGGAGUAGCCCGGAGAUGGGUACUGAGACACGGACCCAGGCCCUAUGGGGCGCAGCAGGCGAGAAAACUUUGCAAUGUGCGAAAGCACGACAAGGUUAAUCCGAGUGGUUUGUGCUAAACGAACCUUUUGACAGUCCUAGAAACACUGUUGAAUAAGGGGUGGGCAAGUUCUGGUGUCAGCCGCCGUGGUAAAACCAGCACCUCAAGUGGUCAGGAUGAUUAUUGGGCCUAAAGCAUCCGUAGCCGGCUCUGUAAGUUUUCGGUUAAAUCUGUACGCUCAACGUACAGGCUGCCGGGAAUACUGCAGAGCUAGGGAGUGGGAGAGGUAGACGGUACUCGGUAGGAAGGGGUAAAAUCCUUUGAUCUAUUGAUGACCACCUGUGGCGAAGGCGGUCUACCAGAACACGUCCGACGGUGAGGGAUGAAAGCUGGGGGAGCAAACCGGAUUAGAUACCCGGGUAGUCCCAGCUGUAAACUAUGCAAACUCAGUGAUGCAUUGGCUUGUGGCCAAUGCAGUGCUGCAGGGAAGCCGUUAAGUUUGCCGCCUGGGAAGUACGUACGCAAGUAUGAAACUUAAAGGAAUUGGCGGGGGAGCACCACAAGGGGUGAAGCCUGCGGUUC
rnacentral:rRNA from 1 species